GACGUAGGGCGCGAGCGUUGUCCGGAUUUAUUGGGCGUAAAGAGCUCGUAGGCGGCUUGUUGCGUCGACCGUGAAAACUUGGGGCUUAACCCUAAGCUUGCGGUUGAUACGGGCAGGCUAGAGUUCGGUAGGGGAGACUGGAAUUCCUGGUGUAGCGGUGAAAUGCGCAGAUAUCAGGAGGAACACCGGUGGCGAAGGCGGGUCUCUGGGCCGGUACUGACGCUGAGACGCGAAAGCGUGGGGAGCGAACAGG
rnacentral:rRNA from 1 species